GCCCUAGUAACGGCGAGUGAAGCGGCAACAGCUCAAAUUUGAAAUCUGGCGCAAGCCCGAGUUGUAAUUUGUAGAGGAUGCUUCUAGGUAGCGACCGGUCUAAGUUCCUUGGAACAGGACGUCAUAGAGGGUGAGAAUCCCGUAUGUGACCGGCCCGCACCUUCUACGUAGCUCCUUCGACGAGUCGAGUUGUUUGGGAAUGCAGCUCUAAAUGGGAGGUAAAUUUCUUCUAAAGCUAAAUACCGGCCAGAGACCGAUAGCGCACAAGUAGAGUGAUCGAAAGAUGAAAAGCACUUUGGAAAGAGAGUUAAAAAGCACGUGAAAUUGUUGAAAGGGAAGCGCUUACAACCAGACUUCUGGGCGGUGUUCCGCCGGUCUUUUGACCGGUCUACUCGCCGUCCCGAGGCCAACAUCAUCUGGGACCGCUGGAUAAGACCUCAGGAAUGUAGCUUCCCUCGGGAAGUGUUAUAGCCUGUGGUGAUGCAGCGCGUCUCGGGUGAGGUCCGCGCUUCGGCAAGGAUGUUGGCGUAAUGGUUGUCAGCGGCCCGUCUUGAAACACGGACCAAGGAGUCUAACAUCUAUGCGAGUGUUCGGGUGUCAAACCCCUACGCGUAAUGAAAGUGAACGGAGGUGGGAAGCGUAAGCUGCACCAUCGACCGAUCCUGAUGUCCUCGGAUGGAUUUGAGUAAGAGCAUAGCUGUUGGGACCCGAAAGAUGGUGAACUAUGCCUGAAUAGGGUGAAGCCAGAGGAAACUCUGGUGGAGGCUCGCAGCGGUUCUGACGUGCAAAUCGAUCGUCAAAUUUGGGUAUAGGGGCGAAAGACUAAUCGAACCAU
rnacentral:rRNA from 2 species